AUCCAGCUGACGAGUCCCAAAUUGGACGAAAUGCGCAUCCUGGAU
rfam:Trichobilharzia regenti genome assembly, scaffold: TRE_contig0007470